GUCGGACGAACGGAGGAGAGCUUGCUCUCCAAUGUUAGUGGCGAACGGGUGCGUAACACGUGAGCAACCUACCCUUUGGCGGGGGAUAGCCGGCCUAACGGCCGGGUAAUACCGCGUAUUGCAUCACUGUCGCAUGGCGGUGAUGUGAAAGCCUUCGGGCACCAGAGGAGGGGCUCGCGGCCUAUCAGCUUGUUGGUGGGGUAACGGCUUACCAAGGCUACGACGGGUAGCUGGUCUGAGAGGAUGAUCAGCCACAUUGGGACUGAGAUACGGCCCAGACUCCUACGGGAGGCAGCAGUGGGGAAUAUUGCGCAAUGGCCGAAAGGCUGACGCAGCGACGCCGUGUGUGGGAUGAAGGCCCUCGGGUUGUAAACCACUGUCAGGAGGGACGAACGCUCGGCUUGACCGAGUUUGACGGUACCUCCAGAGGAAGCACCGGCUAACUCCGUGCCAGCAGCCGCGGUAACACGGAGGGUGCAAGCGUUGUCCGGAUUCACUGGGCGUAAAGCGCACGUAGGCGGUUCCGUAAGUCACCUGUGAAAUCCCGGGGCUCAACUCCGGGGCUGCAGGUGAUACUGCAGAGCUAGAGCUCGGUAGAGGCAAGUGGAAUUCCCGGUGUAGCGGUGGAAUGC
rnacentral:rRNA from 1 species